AAAUUUAUAAUUUAAAAAAAAAAUAUUAAAAUGCAAUUUUAAAAAUUCAAUAUAGAUAAAUUUU
rnacentral:tRNA from 1 species